rnacentral:rRNA from 1 species
GUGCCAGCAGCCGCGGUAAUACGUAGGAGGCGAGCGUUAUCCGGAUUUAUUGGGCGUAAAGUGGGCGUAGGUGGUCUUUCAAGUCAGAUGUGAAAUCUCCCGGCUUAACUGGGAGGGGUCAUCUGAUACUGUUGGACUUGAGUACAGCAGGGGAAAAUGGAAUUCCCGGUGUAGUGGUGAAAUGCGUAGAUAUCGGGAGGAACACCAGAGGCGAAGGCGAUUUUCCAGGCUGAAACUGACACUGAGGCCCGAAAGCGUGGGGAGCGAACAGGAUUAGAUACCCUGGUAGUCCACGCCUUAAACUAUGGGUACUAGGUAUAGGGAGUAUCGACCCUUUCUGUGCCGAAGCUAACGCUUUAAGUACCCCGCCUGGGGAGUACGGUCGCAAGACUAAA